AUCCCAUCCGGCGUGUGCAUAUUGUAAUCAGGGAAUUGGAGUAUCAAUAACCCAGGUCCUUCAUGGCUAUAAAAACGUUAUUUUGUUGCAGGAAAGAAGUGAGGGGCUUGGAAGGGAAUGUUAAGUGAACUUGCUCAGGAAAUACACAGUGGCAGCAGUGGCCGUCUCCCCACAGGUACGACUCUGCAGACACAAAAGCACAUCACUACGGUGAGGGACCAGUAAGGGACCAGAGGGAAAUUAAAGGGGGUAUUGGGAGAAAUGUGGGCUUCCUUAAAGAAGGUCAUUAAAAGAUACAACGUUGCUGUUUCCCUAAGCAACACGUCAUGUCCGCAUGGAGUGCCACAGGUCUGUUAGCUGUAUAGGGAUGUAUGUCCAGAUCUUCUUCCUGAAGAUCAUGUUGGUUGGGGACUGGAAGGUCGUUUUCGCUGAGCCAUGUCAUGAAGCAGAGCAGAAGCUACUACGAUGCUGCAAGCCCGGGUUGAGCUGUACAGCAUCCUCCUACCUGCAUUUGAGGGGUCCUGUGGUGGCACCAUAACUGAUCUCGCUAUUACAGGUGCCUGAUUACGGUGCCUCUCCUUUGUACUCCUGGGGUGAUGGAAUUGGGGUAGAGGCCAGUGUCUGAGGGGAUUGCCACUGUGCCUUGCAGAAGUGAGGCACUGAUAAACGUCGCAUAGAAUGGUUAUGACUUAUGAGAAAGGUGCACAGUUGUUUUGCAGACAAGCCAGCCGUCAUGUACAGUCGUGAGAAUGAGGAAGUCAUCUGUGAUGCUGAAACUACUAUGAAAGUAGAAGCUCGACGGCCUGGGUCAACUCAUGACUUAUUUCCAUUUCACUUUCACCAGCUCCUUCCCACCCUAUUCUUGCUUUUGUCACCUGCUGUCCCAUCAUUUUCAAGGACUUAAUGAAGAGAGAGUUGCGCCCAGGAAAACAGGCCCCGAUGGUCUUAGUCCUUGGAUACUCAGUACCCGGUUUGCACAGCACAGUAUUGCAGAGUAUCUUAAACUUGAGCCUUAGUCUGAAGAAGGUGCCAAGACUGUGGAAAACAUUGUCUGGUUCCUGAGCCCAGUAAGGCAUGUCCUAGUGCCCCAUUUCAUUACAGGCCAUUGGCCUGACUUCACACAGCAUGAAGACCUUCCUGACAGGUCCUGGUUAGGUCAUUGCUUGAUCCCCUUUAGCUUGUCUAUCCAGGAAAGGAUUUUCAAUGUGCCUCCUUCCACUGGGAUACAUUUUUUAAUCUCAUUUGACUAAUGAAGGUUAUUAUAAGUUAGUGUGAUCUAUCUUAAGGAUUCGUAGUAAUUUUCUUACAGGUGUGACACCUGCACUGCCUGGUCUCUCGAAGUAGCCAAAAGGCACGGAGAGAAAAGCAAAGUGAUCUGGGCGCCCUUUCUGUUACUCAUCAUCAGCCAACUUACUAUUUCUAUUGAGUUGGUCUGAAGUCGAUUCGCUUUUAGGGGGUCUGAGUUCAUUUGGAACAUUCACUUACUGUAAACUGGUCUUAGAUGUUCUGCAGUGCCUUCAACAUCAUCUAGUCAUACCCACUUGGGAGUAAUAAUAAUAAUAAUCGAUACUUUAUUGAUCCCCGUAGGGAAAUUGUCUUUACGCCUCCUACAACUUCCCAGGGAGCUGGGGGUUAAGGGCCCUUGCUCAAGGACCCACAGGCUGAGGCUGGGUUUGAACCUGCGACCUUCUGAUUACAGGCACACAGGCUUAGCCCACAGAGCCACACACUGCUCCCCAAAAGGUUGUGUCAGAAGUGGGAUUCGAACCCACGCCUCCAUUCGGAGACCAGAACACCCAUUUCUGUGGAAGGUAUUGAACCUUGCGCCUGGCGCCUUAGACCGCUCGGCCAUCCUGACGAUACGUGUAAGCUGUCGAUCAUGCGGGUGGAAGCUCCCCUGGUGCAAUGGACUAUGGACAAUUUGAUCGGACACCCACAGUAUGUCCGUCUCCAUGAUGGUGUGUCUGAUAAGGUACUGAGGUGAGGUGAGGUGAGGUGAGAUGAGCUGAGGCCCAUGAAGGAGUGAUAUCAUGGACGCGACGUACAAACUGUAACAUUGUUAGUGCAGCCUUCGGUCUGCCACCCCACACAGGCCAGCAUGGAGAACUGACUCACUGAUGGACUUUGGCAUUGACCUACACCACAGUUUACAGCUUCCUUUUAGGAAGUAGGCCCACGGGCGGGGGGGGAUGUUGGACCCCCAGACGGUUUUCUUCUUCCUGCUUUGGAGUUUUUGGUUCCUCUCCUCCAUUAUCAUCUGACUUUCUGUCUUUAUCACUAAGGACAACAAAUGUCGUGCAAGAAACUCUGAGCUAUGCAGCAGUCUGGGAGCAAGGAGAAACACAUGAGAGCAAAGGAUUCAAAGACAGAGGAGGACAGGAUGGCCAGCGACACCUACUGGCCAAACGGGGAAGAUACACGAGGAGCUGGGCCAGACAGUACCAACCCUGAGAGAUUUGGCAAACAUAUCUUCACUGCAUCCUGUAUUAAUUAUUACUAGUAAUAAUUCAUUUCAUUUUCAGUACGUUCAGGAACCAGGGGUAGCAUGGUGGUACAGCAGUGAGCACUGUUGCCUCACAACAAGGUUCGAGUCCCCACCAUGACUGUGCAGGUGGAGUUUUCAUGCAAUCUCUGUGUUGUCUUGGGGUUUUCUCUGGGCACUCUAGUCCUCCCCCUCCCACCCAGUCCAAAAACAUGGUGAGGGGAACUGGAGUUACCAAACUGCAUGUAUGUGUGAUGUGAGCGUGCCCUGUGACAGGUUGGUGUUCCAUCCUCGGUUGUUCCUUGCCUUGCACCCAUAGAUUUAGGAAUAGGCUCUGGAUCCCCCUUGACCCUGAAUGGCACAAGCUGUUACACAAAUUAGAUGGAUGGAUGGAUGGUUCCGGAACCAAAGAAUAUACAUAAGACAGUACAAGGCUUUUGUAUUUAACAAACCUUUUAUUCCGCAUUUUGUAAUUUUUUUUUUUUAAAGUACACACAGUAUAGAUAACUUUAAAGUGCACAUACAAUGUUCAGUGACAAACUAUGUAUGAUGUACUUCGUGAAAGAAAUUUUGCUAGAUACUUAAAUAGUCUUUGCCUCUCAACAAACUGUGCUUGCCAGAAUUACAGACCUAUCUUUAUGUUUUCUUUCCGGAUGAUGACAGAAAUCGAAGGUUCCACCCUCAUCUCUGUAAUCGAUGAUUUACAAUAUUUGCUUCUUUUUACUGGAUGUCUUACUGUACAUAGAAACUCCAUAUGAAAUGGGAAAGUUUGUAGGAAAGUUUUUCAAGUUACCAGUGUUGAAGUCCGUGUCAUAACCAAGCAAGAAUUCACCCAAGUGAGUGACAAGAUCAAUUGCAUUCAUAUUGCGGUAGCGUAGCUCUGCUCUGUGCUGUAUAUUUUUUCAGUUUUUGGUUUUUUAGCUCUCCAUUACAAGCAAUUUCCUCUGGGAUAAUGAAGGAAUUCUGGAAUAAACUUUGUAUUUUUUAGAUAGAUAGAUAGAUAGAUAGAUAGAUAGAUAGAUAGAUAGAUAGAUAGAUAGAUAGAUAGAUAGAUAGAUAGAUAGAUAGAUAGAUAGAUAGAUAGAUAGAUAGGACUUUAUUGAUCCCACAGUGGGGAAAUUUGCGUGUUAACGCAGCUCCAGACAGCCAGCAACAGAGAGUUUACAAGAGUAAAGAAUAUAAAAAAAUACAAGAAUAAGAAU